CCCUUAGAUGUUCUGGGCCGCACGCGCGCUACACUGACGAAUGCAACGAGCUUAUAACCUUGGCCGAAAGGUCUGGGUAAUCUCCAAAUUUCGUCGUGAUGGGGAUAGAUUAUUGCAAUUAUUAAUCUUCAACGAGGAAUGCCUAGUAAGCGCAAGUCAUCAGCUUGUGUUGAUUACGUCCCUGCCCUUUGUACACACCGCCCGUCGCUCCUACCGAUUGAAUGGUCCGGUGAAGCGCUCGGACCGCGGCCUCUUGACGGUUCGCUGUCGAUUGGCUGUGGGAAGUUCGUUAAACCUUAUCAUUUAGAGGAAGGAGAAGUCGUAACA
rnacentral:rRNA from 1 species